rnacentral:rRNA from 1 species
UACGAAGGGUCCAAGCGUUAUCCGGAUUUAUUGGGUUUAAAGGGUGCGUAGGCGGUCCUAUAAGUCAGUUGUGAAAUACGGCAGCUUAACUGUCGAGGUGCAAUUGAUACUGCAGGACUUGAGUACAGACGAGGUAGGCGGAAUUGACGGUGUAGCGGUGAAAUGCUUAGAUAUCGUCAAGAACACCGAUAGCGAAGGCAGCUUACUAGACUGUAACUGACGCUGAGGCACGAAAGUGUGGGAUCAAACAGG